UAAAAACUAUAACAAAGUAGAAAAUGAAAGAUCAAAAAGGAGCAGGGAGGGUGUUGGCUGGUGGCAGGAAGCACUGUGGGAGAGGGCAUAUGACCCUUGCUGGCGUUAUCUUAAGGAUGCAGGAUGGAACAUUCAGCUGCCGAGGUGAUGUCAAGAUAAUUCAUGUUGCCAGAGUCAUCUUGGAUUUCUUUUUAGCUACCUUAGUAUUCCAAUCUCUAACAAUCGCUGCUGUGUGGCUCCUGCUAUUUACUGUCUUCAUUUCUACAAGAGUCCUAUACAGAUAAAGACAUUUGCCACGUUCAGUGCCAGCUGUGUUGGGCACUGUGCUGCACAUUCCUUGAGGAAGUCACAGUGCGUCAUGAGGAAGAGCAAAGAACGUAACCUGUUAUAUUUAAAUCUGCUGUUACACCUCGCGGGUGGCACCAAGGGAAGGCAUGAUUAACUCUGACCAGGGGAUUUGACAUCACAUCUUCUACACACAACAGAGCAAAGGA